rnacentral:rRNA from 1 species
CCUACGGGAGGCAGCAGUGGGGAAUUUUCCGCAAUGGGCGCAAGCCUGACGGAGCAACGCCGCGUGGGGGAGGAAUGUCUGUGGAUUGUAAACCCCUUUUCUCAGGGAAGAAGUUCUGACGGUACCUGAGGAAUCAGCAUCGGCUAACUCCGUGCCAGCAGCCGCGGUAAGACGGAGGAUGCAAGCGUUAUCCGGAAUUAUUGGGCGUAAAGCGUCCGUAGGCGGUUUAUCAAGUCUGCCGUUAAAGACUGCAGCUUAACUGUGGGCGAGCGGUGGAAACUGAUUAACUAGAGUACGGUAGGGGUAGAGGGAAUUCCCAGUGUAGCGGUGAAAUGCGUAGAUAUUGGGAAGAACACCAGUGGCGAAGGCGCUCUACUGGGCCGUAACUGACGCUGAGGGACGAAAGCUAGGGGAGCGAAAGGGAUUAGAUACCCCAGUAGUC